GUUUCAGUAGAAUUGGUACUAAUUCUUCUUUGAACAUGUCUGGUAGAAUUCAGCUGUGAUCCAUCCAGUCCUGGGCUUCUUUUGACUAUGGAAAUGAUGUUAGACAAAAAGCAAAUUCAACUUCAAAGUGGGUCUUAAAACAGCCAAGACAACUUGCAACAUCAACAACGCAUUUGUUCCACUGAGAAUGAACGUACAGUGCAGUGGUGGUUCAAGAAGUUUUGCAAGGGAGACAAGAGCCUUGAAGACAAGCAGCAUAGUGGCUGGCCAUGAGAAGUUGACGAUGACCAACUGAGAACAAUCAUCAAAGCUGAUCCCCUUAAAACUACACAAGAAGUUGCCAAAGAACUCAUCAUUGGCCAUUUGAAGCAAAUUGGAAAGGGAAUGGAUACCCAACCUCAUCAACUAUGCAUUAAAGGAAUAAAGACAAUGAUGCAAGUUUAGAUGCCACCUCCACAAGUAAGGACGCAUCAUUCCUGAGUCCUAUGAUAUCUACAACAAGUAAAUUUUUUGUUGUUGUUAAGAGUGGUCGUCUCUUAAAAGUGACUGGUGCUUAGGGAAUUAGAAUUCACCUGUGAUAGAGGAUCUUAAAGAUGUGUGGAUGCCUAGAGCUAAGAGCACACAUAGGAGAAAGGCAGGAAACUGUAAUACAAAAGGGUGAUAGAUUUCGGAGUGGCAUUUAAGACUGAUCAACAAGAUUGAAUUGUAUAAUAAAGGCAAUGGGAAACCACUGAAGAGUUUUAUGGAGAGAAAUGAUAUGCUCAAUUUUGCUUUUAAAAAAAUCGCUCUCAGAACAACAUGGGUAGUGGGUGGGAAGAGAGUAAGAGUGAAUUUAAAAAACAAAGAAAAUUUAAUGAGUGUUUGCAAUAGUCCAGAUGAUAAAUGAUGACAGUGGACUAGAUUAAGGUUCUAACAGUGGAGAUAAUAAGGAUAUUUAUGGCAUAUUUGAGAUACAAUCCAGAACAUUUGGAAUUGAUUGAAUAUGGAUGUAGGGAAGAAAGUAAUGACCAAGAUUAACCCAAAAUUUCAAAUUUGCAUAACUUGGUGGAAAGUGACAUUAUGUUCUGAUGGUUCAAAAGGUAAGGAAUUUAAUUUUAGACAUUUGACCUUUAAAGGAAAAUGCUACUACCAAGUAGACUUAUUAACCUGGAACUCAGCAGAGAUUGAAUUGUAUCUAGAUAUGUAAAAGAUGUUAACAUAGAAAGCUCAAAAUAGUGAUUGUAUCUUUAAGAAUAGUACGUAUAGGCCUGGCACGGUGGCUCAUGCCUGUAAUCCCAGCACUUUGGGAGGCUGAGGUGGGUGGAUCACAAGGUCAGAAGAUCAAGAGCAUCCUGGCUAUCACGGUGAAUCCCGUCUCUACUAAAAAUACAAAAAAUUAGGCAGGCAUAGUUGCAGGAGCCUGUAGUCCCAGCUACUCAGGAGGCUGAGGCAGGAGAAUGGUGUGAACCUGGGAGGCGGAGCUUGCAGUGAGCCGAGAUCAACGUGCCACCGCACUCCAGCCUGGGCAACGGAGCGAGACUCUGUCUCAAAAAAAAAAAAAAAAAAAAAGAUUAGGGUGUAUAGAGUAAAACAGAGGAAAACAACAUAAGAAUAGAAUUCCAUGCAGCAGCAACAUUCCUAUGGCAGGUUGAUCUAGGACCGCUCCCUAUCCUGACAUUAGGUACAGCUAAAUAAGUAGGAGCACACAGAGUCGAAGAAGGACAGCCAGGCAGGCAAAAGUAAGAGAAAAGUGUGUGGAGUCACGGAAUCAAAAGGAGAGGCAUGCAUCCUGGCAAAGAAAGCAGUGAAUAAUGAGAGCUCAUUCAGAAAAAAGCACAAGUGUCCUUUUGAUUAUGGAUGGAGUGGCAUUUGGUGACUUCAGUGAGAACAAUUCCAACAGAAUGGUGGUACUAAAAUCUAAAUUGCAUUGGGUUGAAGAAUAAGUAUGAAAUAAGGACAUAGAGAUGCCAGUUUAGGUGAUGCAUUUGAGAAUAUUAAUAUUUAAGGUAAGGAGAGGAAGGGUAAUAGCUAUAGGAAGAUGGAUGGUUGUGUUUCAAAUGAGUGAGACUUGAGUGGGUUCAAAUUUUGGUAGAAUGUGUCUAUAAAGGGAAAAAUGUUGAACAUAUUGAGGAGAGGAUGCCAAAUCAACACAAUAAGGAUCCCUGAGAAGGCAGGAGAAGUUGCCCUUAUGAAAAAGGAGAUAAACCUUGUUAUUUUAACAGUAGGAAAGGAGGAAAGGCUGGGAAAGCAGAUUUGUAAUUUUAGUGACAGAUACUUGAAGAAUUUUUAUCAUCUUCAAGAGCUUCUAAUUUUCUUUAAUGUAGAAAAAUAGCAUCUGCUAAGUGUGAUGAAAUAAGAUGACAAAGAUUUAAAAUUUGUGAAGAAUCAAAAGAGUCUGAAAUCAUUGUUAUGAAGAAAGAAUGGAGCAUGGAAACCUAAACGUGUCAGGCAGAGUCGAAUUUUCUGAUUCUAGUCUUUAAGCAUUUUCCACUGUGUCCCCCACCCCGGAGGCCUCUUGCAGAGCCAUAAUGAAAACCAUGCCAUCCAAACUAAGAGAGAACAGCCCUUUUAUUUGUAAAGCAAAAUAUUCUAGUCCUUAUAUUUGAUCACUCUCCAGCCUUAAGCUUCUUCACUUAUUCUCUUACUCUCCUUUCAAAUAAGUCCGUGGCUCUGUUUUCUGUUGUGUUAAUCAUACCAUGAACACAUUCAUGUAAGCGAGUGAAUUAUACUCUGGCAAAAUGACCUGGAAUCAACAUAUGCCAUCAUUGUAAACAUCCUGGAUUGGCUUUCCAGUGGCUUUGACCCCUCCCCUACUCAUCACCUCAUUCUCAUUUUAUGUCUCCCUGUACCCACAAAAUAAGACAGGCUCAUACCUGAUUGUUUGACAGUGACUUUGAUGGGCUGAGGAGGCACUUGAAUCUGAUGUCAACUAUUUUAGCAGUUGAAUCUGAUCUCAACUAUUAACCUCAUGACACAUGGAGUCAAGUUGCUGUUUAUUACAGGAUAAGGAAGCAGUUGGUAUUAACAACACAGGUGAUGCCGUAAGGUCACGAACCAUCAGACACUGCUAGUAUUAGGUAGGACUUUGGAAGAUCUGCUAUGGGAAAACUCAAAGGACAUUCCUGAGCUAGGGAGAAGGAAGUUGAACUAAGCUAUGUCACAAGUCUCUUUUUCAAUUCAAGGAUUAUAGCAUCAGAAGGGGUAUUUAAAAUAAAUGCAAAACUGUUGUACUUAAGGGAACUAAAGUAUUCACAAAUGUUAACGUUCUCAGAAGCAACAGGGUGAAGAGGAAAGAGCAUGGUCAGGAAAUGGGGCAAAUCCCAGCUCAUGUGUUUGCCAGCUGAAUAACCCUAAACAGGUCACCUAACAUUUCUGGCACUAUUUUCUAAUCUAUAAAACGAAGAUAAUAUUGUCUUUGAUUGUUGUUCUAAGGCUGCGUUGGGCAACAUAGUAGAUACUAACCACAUAUGGCUAUCACAAUUUAAAUCAGUUAAAAUUAAAUAAUGUUAAAUAUCAGUUCCCUCCUUGGACUAGCCACAUUUGAAGAGCUCAACAGCCACAUGUGAUUGGUAGCUGUCAUAUUGAACAGAACAGAUAUAGAAGAUCUCCAUGAUUACUGAAAGUUCUAUUUGACAGCAAUGUUCUAAGGAUUAAAUAAAAUCUGCAAAAAAAUAAAUAAAUAAAUUCCCACCAUAUAUUAGGUAUUC
rnacentral:lncRNA from 10 species